AGGAUAAACGCUGGCGGCGUGCCUAACACAUGCAAGUCGAACGUCCUACGCGCAAGCGUAGGGAGUGGCGGACGGGUGAGUAACACGUGGGCAAUCUACCUUUCGGUGAGGAAUACCGGCGAGAAAUCGCCGACAAGACCGCAUACGCUCGGGCAACCGAGCAAAGUCGCAAGACGCCGGAGGAGGAGCCUGCGCCCGAUUAGCUAGUUGGUGAGGUAAGAGCUUACCAAGGCGACGAUCGGUAGCUGGUCUGAGAGGAUGAUCAGCCACACUGGGAUUGAGAACGGCCCAGACUCCUACGGGGGGCAGCAGUGAGGAAUUUUCGUCAAUGGGGGCAACCCUGAACGAGCAACGCCGCGUGCAGGAUGACGCUUUUCGGAGUGUAAACUGCUUUUCUCGGGGAAGAGCAAGGGACGGUACCCGAGGAAUCAGCCCCGGCUAACUCGUGCCAGCAGCCGC
rnacentral:rRNA from 1 species